CAUGCGGGUGACCUGGGAAACAUUGUUGCCAAUGCUGAAGGUAUAGC
rnacentral:sRNA from 1 species